UAGGGAAUAUUGGGCAAUGGAAGCAAUUCUGACCCAGCCAUGCCGCGUGAAGGAAUACAGCCCUAUGGGUUUUAAACUUCUUUUAUUAUAGAGUAACCGGAGGUACGUGUACCUCCCUGCAAGUAUAUGAUGAAUAAGGAUCGGCUAACUCCGUGCCAGCAGCCGAGGUAAUCCGGAGGAUCCAAGCGUUAUCCGGAUUUAUUGGGUUUAAAGGGUGCGCAGGCGGAUCAAUAAGUCUGGGGUGAAAAAUUUCAGCUUAACUGGAAUCGUGCCUUUGAUACUGUUGGACUAGAGUAUAAGUGACGUGACUGGAAUGUGA
rnacentral:rRNA from 1 species